rnacentral:tRNA from 1 species
GCCCGGGUGGUGAAAUUGGUAGACGCAGGGGACUCAAAAUCCCCCGCCGCAAGGCGUGCCGGUUCAAGUCCGGCCCCGGGCA